UACAGAGGUCUCAAGCGUUGUUCGGAAUCACUGGGCGUAAAGGGUGCGUAGGCUGCACGGUAAGUCAGAGGUGAAAUCCCGGAGCUCAACUUCGGAAAUGCCUCCGAUACUGCCGUGCUUGAGGAUUGGAGAGGAGUCCGGAAUUCACAGUGGAGCAGUGAAAUGCGUAGAUAUUGUGAGGAACACUAGUGGCGAAGGCGGGACUCUGGACAAUUCCUGACGCUGAGGCACGAAGGCCAGGGGAGCAAACGGG
rnacentral:rRNA from 1 species